GGUUCUAUGGUGUAAUGGUUGUAUGUACUUAACAUACUAUAGAAGACAAUAUACUAAUCUGUCAUUGUUAGAGCACAUCGGAUUCUGAUUCCGGGGAUCUGGGUUCAAUUCCCAGUAGAACCU